UUAACUAAAACCAAACAGAGGUAAAUUAAUGUUAAUAAUUUCAUUGGAUAAAUAUAGUCCUAGUUAAU
rnacentral:tRNA from 2 species